rnacentral:rRNA from 1 species
AUACGGAGGGGGCAAGCGUUAUUCGGAUUUACUGGGCGUAAAGGGCGUGUAGGCGGCUUGAUAGGUCAAAGGUGAAAGCCCCCGGCUCAACCGAGGAACUGCCUUUGAAACCAUCUGGCUCGAGGCCGGGAGGGUGGAAUUCCCGGUGUAGCGGUGAAAUGCGUAGAGAUCGGGAGGAACACCUGUGGCGAAGGCGGCCCUCUGGAAUGGUACUGACGCUGAGGCGCGAAAGCUGGGGGAGCGAACGGGAUUAGAAACCCGGGUAGUCC